rnacentral:lncRNA from 1 species
GACAGGGGUCAGAUUGGUCGCUUCUUUGCAAGGCUAUGUUGUAACAGUGCUUGGCCAGGGCUUGGUCUCCCCGGACCUCUCCGAUCCCCUGGUUGGUGGGGAAUUUCAACUUCAGAUGGUAAGUUGAUAUGACGGCUCGGAGAGCAUUGAGGCCAGGUCGGCCGAGGAUUGCAUUGUAGGCUGACGGCGCCUUCACCACCAAGAAAUUCACCAGAGCCCUGGAUUGCCUUGGAUAUCAACCUGCGGCCACAGUCAAAGUUAUUAUUCCUUCCGUCGGAACAGUGUCGCCGGUAAACCCUACC